UUAAUCUUCUCAUUACUUGGAUAUGCAGUAAUACCUUAGGACUAUAGGGUAAUAUAGACAAAUUCCGGGUAACCCCUAAAGCUUCUGGUACCAAACUUCAAACGAAAGUUUGAAAGUGGCUGAAGUAAUUACUCAGGUAAGGUAAUAAGCCAGAUGAUUCUAGUUACUUUUUAGGUUUCCUAGGCUACGUAGGCUAUAAAUAAUAGCCUACAUAUGCUUACUCCGUAUGCUUAAUUCUGCAAAACUUAGUAGCAUAAAUAAGUGAACUAGGGACUAGUAAUAGGAAUGGGCAAUCGCGGAUCUAAAUCAGUUGUAAGAUAUUAUUCUGCAGUUGUAAAAGAGCAACGAGUAAACGUCUAUAGAUAUUUACAAUAUCCACAGCUAUCCUUUUGGGAUGGUCCCCUUCAGGGGUCCAGACCUAAAGGUCAGUCCCCCUUUUGGGGACUAGGAGAAUCCACCCCUCCGGGGUGGAUGUUUGUAAUAUAUUUAAGAUGUAUUCUAAUGAGCUUAGUAAUAAGCUA
rnacentral:ncRNA from 1 species